AAAUCACCUAGUUCCUAUGAGUUCUUUUGUAUCCUCUCUAACUUAUCCUUCAGUAUCAAAUUUGAAGGAUUGUUUUGAGGGGGUCUGAAAGUCUCAGUUUUUGCUCCAUCUUGUUU
rnacentral:precursor_RNA from 8 species